rnacentral:rRNA from 1 species
UCGAGAAUCUUCGGCAAUGGGCGCAAGCCUGACCGAGCGACGCCGCGUGUGGGAUGAAGGCCUUCGGGUUGUAAACCACUGUCAGAGGGGAUGAAAUGCAGGUGGGUUCUCCCAUCUGUUUGACAUAGCCUCAGAGGAAGGACGGGCUAAGUUCGUGCCAGCAGCCGCGGUAAGACGAACCGUCCAAACGUUAUUCGGAAUUACUGGGCUUAAAGGGUGCGUAGGCGGCGCGGAAAGUUGGGUGUGAAAUCCCUCGGCUCAACCGAGGAACUGCGCCCAAUACUACCGUGCUUGAGGGAGAUAGAGGUGAGCGGAACUUAGGGUGGAGCGGUGAAAUGCGUUGAUAUCCUAAGGAACACCGGUGGCGAAAGCGGCUCACUGGAUCUCUUCUGACGCUGAGGCACGAAAGCUAGGGUAGCGAACGGGAUUAGAUACCCAUGUAGUCCCUGAGCGGGCUGGCAAGGCGCAU